rnacentral:lncRNA from 1 species
AGAGGUGAGUCACUUGGGUGUCCCUAAGCUAUGCAUCUUGUUGGCGUUGAAACGAUCAUCACAGCCAAACAUUACUACAGGCUUAUUAUACUGCUAUAGACACAAUCAAAGUCCAUGUAAUUGCUGCUGCAGAAUCUGUGGAAACUGCUGCGAGGUCUCCAACCCCAAAACUCCUGGACCACUUCUCUGCUAAAUGAGGAGCAAGACUCAGUGGAUCACAGAAUAUCAAGGCUUGGAAGGAGCCUGGCUUGUUGUGGACGGCUCAUCUGGCUUCGUCACUAGUAGUCUUCUGGUCUUCAAUGAUGAACCUACCUUCGUGCAUGAUGAUUUCUUUGAAUGCUAGUGAAAUCAGUGAAGAUGGAUUCCAUAUCAAGGAGUUAAAGAAAAGUAUUAGAUGACGGAAAGUGUAGGACUGACAAGCGCUGGCCCAGGAAGGCCGGCCUCACAGGCACAGAGAUGAAGAUGUUCCUAUUAGGCGAAAGCUUGUUGGAAUGCUCACACUUGCAAUGAAUCAUUUAUCGAAGUGGACAAGGCAUUUUGUGUUUUACAAAAUGGAAAGUUUUGAUCCUUAAAUACAUAUCUGAGACCCAUUCCUGACAGAGUCAAGGACAACCAUCAGAUUGACCUUCAAGCAAGAAAGACAGCAAGGAAAAUAAUCGAAUAGUUAGGCUACUUGGAAUCACAAAUUACUGCAUUAUUUGUGAUAUGAUAUAUUUUAAAGAGAUCUCGGGUUUCUGUUGUCCAUAGAUAAGACUCAAUGAAUGGGAAUGUAAGAACCUUCUUGAUAUGGUAAUUCCAUUUUGGUACAUGCUGGUAAAUGGAGUGACUCUUGGUAGGGUUUCUAGUGAUACGAUAAAUACCCAUGAUUGAAAACUACUUAGGGAUGAAAGGGUUUAUUUCAUCUUGCAAAUUACAACUCAUCAUUAAAGAAGUCAGAGAAGGAACCGAAGACAGGAACCUGGAAGCAGGCACUGAAGGUCAUGAAGAAGUGCUGCUUACUGGCUUGCUCCCCAUGACUUGCUCAGCCUGCUCUCUUAUACCACCCAGGACCACCAGCCCAGAAGUGUCACUGCCCCAGUAGGCUCAGUCACACCAAUCAAUUCAUCACUGAAAAUGCUCUACAGACUUCCCUUUAGAUAAUCUGGUACAGGCAUUCUCACAACGGAGGCUCCUCUUCUCAGAUAACUCUAGCUUAUAUCAAGUUGACAAAAGAAACCUGACCAGGACAGACUGAGUUUUGUAUUGGAUGUGGGGGGGGGGCAUGUAAAAUUCUGGCUCUAACACUGGUCCUUAUGUGUGUGAACAUUUUUCUUUACAUCCCUCUGGACUCAGGACCUAAACAGUGACAUCUUGGCUUAAUAGGGAACACAUGUUAAGCUCUUGUGUGCAAGAGACUCCCCUAAGUCCUUAAGAGACAUUACUUUUUAAAAUCCCACAAGUACCCUUCAAGGGAAAUAUCACUGGUUACUGGUAGCUGUGCAGUAAACAUACAAAGGGGUUUCUUCUUACUUUUUGCCUUCAAUUUUCAAAAUUAUGUUAGCAAUUCUUUAGUGUUCUUUAAAAAUAUAAACUUUAGAAUAACUUUGUUUAAUUGUUUUACUAGGAUUUUGAAAGGAAUUUGUUUGCUGAUCAGUUUAGGGACAAUAUCUGCUAAUUCAGAUCUUUGGUUUUAUGAUGGAAUUCUCAUCGUAUAGAUUUUGUAAAUGCUGUGUUCCAUUUGAGAGUAACUACUACAUUUUUGUAGUAAUCAUAACUGGUGUUCUGGCUUUUUUUUUAAUUGCAGCUAAACAAUUUCUAUCUGAUUAUUUCUCUAGAACAUAGAAAGAUAAUCUUUUGUUUGUUGAUCUCAAAUUCUACAACUUUGCUAAAUUCACUUUGAGAUUUUUUUUUGAGAACAUUGGGAUUUUCUAUAUAGAUAAUCACUUUAUUAGCAAACAGGGGUUUCUCAGCUUAUGACGCAUUACAUUCUGAACUGAAGCCCACACAUAAACCUAUCGUGAGCAGGGAAUCAGUAAAUCAAAAUGCCCUGUGCUCUGCUCUGCUCUGUCCUUGGAGAGAACCAAGGAAGCACAGUUAAAGUCUGUUCACUGAAGUUGUAGUCAUGUCAACAUUUCUGGAAGAUUCUGACCAUCUGCAUAGCUCUUCAUAGCAGGAACGGAUCUUUGAAAGAUUCUGUAAGAUCUGAGGAGUCAUGGAGAGCUCUGGGGAAACCCUUGCCAGCUUCGUGGGAGUGAGAGGUCCAAGCUCCCAGUGCUCUGGGGCCUUUAUGCCUGUCACUUUCUCUGUGCAUGCUGGAUGGAAGAGUUUUGGAAGUGAUAACACCUGUGUCAGGAGAAGGUUUUCAGAGAUUAAGCCCACUGAUCUUGAAAAAGACCUUUCGCUGGUAGUGUUAAAGAGGGCACUGAAGAAUGCUGCCUGUGAGCCUAGGACAGGAAAACAGAAGUGACAGAAAUCAUGGCUGAACCAGGCCGUGGGCCAAUGAGGAGCUUUGUUUCUGUACUCACUGCUGACUGAGACAGACUCUGGACAGCCUGGUUCUUCAGAAAUAGAAACUAAGUGGUCACAGAAUGAACAAGGACACAGAGAUGCCAAGGAGGUUGAAAUGGUUCUUGACAGUUUGGUGAUAACCAUGGAGACAACUUUGGUAGAGACAAUGUUUGUGAUGGAGGAGAUGUCGGUGGUCAUGGUGGCCUUGGUGGCAGCUGCGGUGAUGAGAAUGGUGGUGGAGAUGAUGACAAUGAAUUUAGUAACCGUGGAAGUCUAAACUGAUGUAAGUUACCACAAACAAUAUUAAACACUUAGACAAAGGAAGAGUGAGCAUUUGGAGGCACUACAAAAUAGGGAGCUCUGUUCCCUAUGGUGGCGGAAGCCAGUGAGUGCUGUCAAGCACUGGCUUUAAAGUAAAUAAUAUAUGCUCUAUGCUAGCAGCAGCACCAGUCGUUAUGGCAGUGGCAAGAGGCUGUAAGUAGUGAUGGGAAGCAAAGCUUAGUAGGAGAGAAGAGCCAGAGGAGUGGGGAAAGGCCACAGGUUACAGUGGAAUCAUGCACAGUGGUAGCAGGAUCUUGCUGCAUCAAGACCACACCUGCUGGAUAGUGCUCCUGUGAAUCUGGGCAAAAUUCAAGGACCGACUUUGUGACUGUUUAGAUAGCAGGUUGUUUUCAGUUUUUUGUUCUAUGGUGACUGAAACAUUCUAAUACAGAAUUUUGCUACAGACAGACUUUUCAAUCAGACUGUUGAUUGAUAAAUGACACAUUCUAGCCAUGAUGUUUAAUAAAAAAUGUCUUU